rnacentral:rRNA from 1 species
UGGCGGCGUGCUUAACACAUGCAAGUCGAACGGAGAUUACUUUUAGCUUGCUAUUUGUAAUCUUAGUGGCGGACGGGUGAGUAACGCGUGGGUAACCUGCCUUAUACAGGGGGAUAACAGUCGGAAACGACUGCUAAUACCGCAUAAGCGCACAGUAUCGCAUGAUACAGUGUGAAAAGAUUUAUCGGUAUAAGAUGGACCCGCGUCUGAUUAGCUGGUUGGUGAGGUAACGGCCCACCAAGGCGACGAUCAGUAGCCGGCCUGAGAGGGUGAACGGCCACAUUGGGACUGAGACACGGCCCAAACUCCUACGGGAGGCAGCAGUGGGGAAUAUUGCACAAUGGGGGAAACCCUGAUGCAGCGACGCCGCGUGAGUGAAGAAGUAUUUCGGUAUGUAAAGCCCUAUCAGCAGGGAAGAAAAUGACGGUACCUGACUAAGAAGCCCCGGCUAACUACGUGCCAGCCGCCGC